UCUUCCCUCCCUCCGAAAUCCCCAACUUUUUCCCCUAAAAUCGGUAUCCCUAAAAAUUUUGUGUUGAUUGACUAGAUUUCUACUUUUCCCCCUAAAAUCGGUAUCCUCAAAACACCUAAUUCUUACUGAGCAACCCCUAAAAUCAGUUCUUAAAUUUCAUGCCUCUUUCUUCUUCUUCUUCUUCUUCUUUUUAUAUCUUUCUUUCCUUCUUGUUUAUAUAUAGAGAGCUGAAGCCAGUUCUGGGUGCUUCUUCACUCUCUUUUCCAUGCCCCAAGAUCUUUUUUUUUUUUGUAAACAAACCAGCAAACCCAAACUCACAAGGGUUUUUUGUCUCUUCCUCCAACUUCAAAUUUCAACUCCAAAUAUUGCUGGCGUUCUGUGAUGCUUGUUCUUUGGUUUCUGUUCUUUUUAACUCCCUCGGUCUCGCCUUCAAAUUCGCGGAGAUGGAGUACGUUGCCAAGGUAGGUAAUCUUGUGGAAGCAUCAAAGAGGUUUGCCACUUUAGAAAAUAUAGUUGAUGCAGAUGAAGGUAAUGGGCAGUGAAAAAACAAAGAGGCCCUUCGCGUGAUCUGCGUCGUGUUAGACAGGGUCUUCACCUCGUACGAGCUUUAUUUGAACAAAUUUUGUCAUCCAACUUCAACAGCUUAUGCUCAAGUAUGUGCACCGUAUCACACAUGGGCGUUGAGAUGGAUAGCUGAUGCCUUUCCUGAUUUUCAGGUUUGACAAGGAACUGAACAACAGGUGCUUGCUAUGAGCAGCAAAGUAUGAAUGAAUGUGAUUAUCAACUUUACAAAUAUAGGUGGUGGACUGGUGAGGAAUCUGUGAAUGUUCUCUUAGAAGCCGCAGGCCAAGGUCCAAUCUACAUCUAAUUGAGCUGAUUCCACUCUUUCAAACCCCCUGUGCGAGGAGUCUGCUCAAAAUUCUUCAAAAUACUAACAGACAGAGCAUACAUCCACCACCUGCCUUUGGCUCAUCGCCUAAUCUUGAAGCCCUUGCACUUGAAGCAAAUAAGUCUAAGGAUCAAGAUGGAGAUAGUUCUUUACUUGACAGUUCACAUCUUUCCCGGAGUGCAUUAACUGAUAAGGCCCUGCCAAAGUUCAACUUUCUUACCUCAGAGCAAUCCUUCACCACCAUCUUUAGUUGACUUCAGUUUUAGGCCCAUGCAUGAAGUUACAUUUUCAACAAAAGACAAACCAAAACUUCUUAGUCAGGUUUGAUUGUGGCAUGUUUAUGUAUUCUAUAUAUACUUCUAUAGCAGAGGCUUAAGUCUUUGUUUUGAGCAGGUAAGUACAUGGAACUAUUUUUUAUCCUUCUUGUUCAUGUUUUAUUUUGAUUUUUCUGUGAUUAAACUCUAGUACUCAGGGCAGUUGUUGUUGGGAUGUAAAAUCUGUUGUCUAUCUGCCUAAAUAUAUGACAAAAGGAACACAUGCCCUAUGCCCUAUUUUCGUUUAAGGACCGCCAAGGAAAUUCUGAAACUGAAAACUGAUUGAUCGGAUGUGUAUGCCGGCUUUCAUCAACUACAUUUGAAGGCCUUACUAGGAAUUGAAAUAGUGUGCAAAGAGAUUGCUUCUUCUGAUCUGAUUUUUCGAUAUAAAUAUUGGACAAAGUAUGGAUAUUUUACUGCUGUUAGUAAAAUAGGAUUCUCUUCUUACGAUUUUAGUUUCUUCACUUGUAUUAGACUCAACAAUGGCUUGCAUUGCAUUGGUGUUAAUUUUACCAAAAUUUUGAGGUUUACAAUUAA